AGACAUUUGGUGGAUGAGGCAGGAGAGAUGGGCCAAGGACAGGCGAAGAAGAUGGGCGCUGACCUGCAGACCCUGAGCGUCCCCCUUAGUGUGUCCCUAAGGUAGGGCAGCUCUUGCCACAGAGGGAAUAUUUCCUUGGGACUGCAAGGAUGUGCUGUGGCGAAAGGCUUUGAAGAGCCUGUGCAGGCCUUUGAUGCUGAUGGCGCAGCUGUGCCCUUGGGGUUCAGAUUGUGGAGGAAAGCUGAGGACCCGCUUUGUCAGCCUGAUAGACACACCCUGGAGCUGGCAGUUUAGGUCCUUUCUGGGAAGAGCCUGCACCAUCUUUGCUGUUGGCCCAAAGGAAUCCGGCUGCAGUAAAGUGGUGCCCCAGACCUGCCUGGGGACACACUGGGUGAGAAGGGUGGUGGGGAAAUCUGGAUAUUCACACAGAUGUCAGUGCCACCAGGGAGCUAAGCUGGCAGAAGUACUGCACCCCUGGACUGUGUCUGCAGGCAGGAGCACCUGGUGCUCCCGAGAGAAGAAGGACCGUCCCUGGGUGCUGGCAGGCUGCCGCACGGCUGUGCCACCGCAGACGCAGUCUGGGUGAGUUUGGACAUGACUUAAACUCUGGCAUUUCUCAGCUUCUGAGUGCUUGAGGUGGUUACUCCAAUGCUGAUGCUUGUCUGAAGCAGGGCUUUGGUUUGCUCAGUGCUUUAGUAUGUUAUGUGCGUGGUGACCAUCCUCCUGCAGACGGGAGCACAGCACAGGUCUGAGCGGGGGCAUGCUCCAUUUUAGCGUGCCGACUCCCCGCAGGGCUCGGGCCGUGCUCUCCAGGACAGACAGGGCAAGGCAGAGCUGUGGAGCUCUACCUGCCGCUUGGGAGUCUUCAGCCUGCGCUGGUCCCACUCGCUCUGCAGACGGAGUCAACGCGCGGAAGGCCCCGUUGGCAGCCCGUGGGUGCGUCUGACUCGCCGUGGGUGGGUGGGUGGGUGGGAGGGGCAGAGCCCCGGGGCUUUGUGCUGCUGCAGACCAGCGCGGGCUGGUUAGCGAGUGACCCAGCCAAGGGGUCCGCGCAGGCUGCGGCCGCCGGGCCGGGCGCUCCCCGGGCACCACAGGGCUCCCACACCCCUGCACCCCGCAGCGGCUGCUCCCCGGGCACCACGGGGCUCCCGCACCCCUGCACCCCGCAGCGGCUGCUCCCCGGGCACCACGGGGCUCCCGCACCCCGCAGCGGCUGCUCCCCAGGCACCACGGGGCUCCCGCACCCCUGCACCCCGCAGCGGCUGCUCCCCAUAAACCCGGUGCUCCCGCACCCCGCAGAGGCUGCUCCCAGGGAAUCUGGUGCUCCCGCACCCCCGUACCCCAGGCAGAUGCUGCUCCCCGGGAACCCGGUGCUCCCGCACCCCCGCAGCGGUUGCUCCCCGGGAAUCCGGUGCUCCCGCACCCUGGUAGCGGCUUCUCCCCGGGCACCCGGUGCUCCCGCACCCCGCAGCGGCUGCUCCCGGUGAACCCGGUGCUCCCGCACCCCGGCAGCGGCUGCU
rnacentral:lncRNA from 1 species